CUAACCCUCCCUAAUGAU
rnacentral:tRNA from 1 species